rnacentral:misc_RNA from 1 species
UCCGGUUUGUCACCGGCAGUCACCUUAGAGUUCCCAACUUAAUGCUGGCAACUAAGGGCAAGGGUUGCGCUCGUUGCGGGACUUAACCCAACAUCUCACGACACGAGCUGACGACAGCCAUGCAGCACCUGUCUUGGGGCUCCCGAAGGCACCCCCGCAUCUCUACGGGUUUCACCCUGCAUGUCAAGCCCAGGUAAGGUUCUUCGCGUCGCAUCGAAUUAAGCCGCAUGCUCCGCCGCUUGUGCGGGCCCCCGUCAAUUCCUUUGAGUUUCAGCCUUGCGGCCGUACUCCCCAGGCGGGGCACUUAAUACGUUAGCGCCGGCACCCAGGGGGUCGCUCCCCCAGGCACCUAGUGCCCAUCGUUUACGGCGUGGACUAC